rnacentral:rRNA from 1 species
GGGGGCAACCCCUCGAGAGUGGCGAACGGGUGAGUAAUAUAUCGGAACGUGCCCAGUCGUGGGGGAUAACGUAGCGAAAGUUACGCUAAUACCGCAUACGAUCUACGGAUGAAAGCGGGGGAUCGCAAGACCUCGCGCGAUUGGAGCGGCCGAUAUCAGAUUAGGUAGUUGGUGGGGUAAAGGCUCACCAAGCCAACGAUCUGUAGCUGGUCUGAGAGGACGACCAGCCACACUGGAACUGAGACACGGUCCAGACUCCUACGGGAGGCAGCAGUGGGGAAUUUUGGGCAAUGGACGCAAGUCUGAUCCAGCCAUUCCGCGUGCAGGAUGAAGGCCCUCGGGUUGUAAACUGCUUUUGUACGGAACGAAAAGGUUUCUAUUAAUACUAGGAGCUCAUGACGGUACCGUAAGAAUAAGCACCGGCUAACUACGUGCCAGCAGCCGCGGUAAUACGUAGGGUGCAAGCGCUAAUCGGAAUUACUGGGCGUAAAGCGUGCGCAGGCGGUUAUGUAAGACAGAGGUGAAAUCCCCGGGCUCAACCUGGGAACUGCCUUUGUGACUGCAUAGCUAGAGUACGGUAGAGGGGGAUGGAAUUCCGCGUGUAGCAGUGAAAUGCGUAGAUAUGCGGAGGAACACCGAUGGCGAAGGCAAUCCCCUGGACCUGUACUGACGCUCAUGCACGAAAGCGUGGGGAGCAAACAGGAUUAGAUACCCUGGUAGUCCACGCCCUAAACGAUGUCAACUGGUUGUUGGGUCUUCACUGACUCANUAACGAAGCUNACGCGUGAAGUUGACCGCCUGGGGAGUACGGCCGCAAGGNUGAANCUCAAAGGAAUUGACNGGGGACCCGCACAAGCGGUGGAUGAUGUGGUUUAUUCGAUGCAACGCGAAAAACCUUACCCACCUUUGACAUGUACGGAAGUUGCCANANAUGGCUU